UAGCUCAGUUGGUAGAGCAGUUGACUUUUAAUCAAUUGGUCGCAGGUUCGAAUCCUGCACGACCCACCAAUCGUUCUGGUGGAACGCGAUAGUAAAACGUGAAGGAUAACGUUGCGUCAGCAACGGCAAGUAGGGCGAGGCGGAGCCGAGUCAUCCUGCACGACACACCA
rfam:Enterobacter sp. 638, complete genome.